GUGGGGAAUAUUGGGCAAUGGGCGAAAGCCUGUCCCAGCAACGCCGCGUGAAGGAAGAAGGUUUUCGGAUCGUAAACUUCUAUCCUUGGUGAAGAUAAUGACGGUAGCCGAGAAGGAAGCCCCGGCUAACUACGUGCCAGCAGCCGCGGUAAUACGUAGGGGGCAAGCGUUGUCCGGAAUGAUUGGGCGUAAAGGGCGCGUAGGCGGCCUGGUAAGUCUGGAGUGAAAGUCCUGCUUUUAAGGUGGGAAUUGCUUUGGAUACUGUCGGGCUUGAGUGCAGGAGAGGUAAGUGGAAUUCCCGGUGUAGCGGUGAAAUGCGUAGAGAUCGGGAGGAACACCAGUGGCGAAGGCGACUUACUGGACUGUAACUGACGCUGAGGCGCGAAAGUGUGGGGAGCAAACAGGAUUAGAAACCCCGGUAGUCC
rnacentral:rRNA from 1 species